rnacentral:rRNA from 1 species
GUCCUACGGGACGCAGCAGUGAGGAAUAUUGGUCAAUGGGCGGGAGCCUGAACCAGCCAAGUCGCGUGAGGGAAGACGGUCCUAUGGAUUGUAAACCUCUUUAGGCGGGGAGCAAUGCCGGGCACGCGUGCCCGGAGGGAGAGUACCCGCAGAAUAAGCAUCGGCUAACUCCGUGCCAGCAGCCGCGGUAAUACGGAGGAUCCGAGCGUUAUCCGGAUUUAUUGGGUUUAAAGGGAGCGUAGGGGGAUUGUUAAGGCAGUUGUGAAAGUUUGCGGCUCAACCGUAAAAU